GGUCAAGUGAAGAAGCGCAUACGGUGGAUGCCUUGGCAGUCAGAGGCGAUGAAAGACGUGGUAGCCUGCGAAAAGCUUCGGGGAGUCGGCAAACAGACUGUGAUCCGGAGAUGUCUGAAUGGGGGAACCCAGCCAUCAUAAGAUGGUUAUCUUGUACUGAAUACAUAGGUGCAAGAGGCGAACCAGGGGAACUGAAACAUCUAAGUACCCUGAGGAAAAGAAAUCAACCGAGAUUCCCUUAGUAGUGGCGAGCGAACGGGGACUAGCCCUUAAGUGCUUUGAGAUUAGCGGAACGCUCUGGAAAGUGCGGCCAUAGUGGGUGAUAGCCCUGUACGCGAAAAUCUCUUGGUCAUGAAAUCGAGUAGGACGGAGCACGAGAAACUUUGUCUGAAUAUGGGGGGACCAUCCUCCAAGGCUAAAUACUACUGACUGACCGAUAGUGAACCAGUACCGUGAGGGAAAGGCGAAAAGAACCCCGGAGAGGGGAGUGAAAUAGAUCCUGAAACCGUAUGCGUACAAGCAGUGGGAGCCCACUUUGUUGGGUGACUGCGUACCUUUUGUAUAAUGGGUCAGCGACUUAUUUUCAGUGGCGAGCUUAACCGAAUAGGGGAGGCGUAGCGAAAGCGAGUCUUAAUAGGGCGUCUAGUCGCUGGGAAUAGACCCGAAACCGGGCGAUCUAUCCAUGGGCAGGUUGAAGGUUAGGUAACACUGACUGGAGGACCGAACCGACUACCGUUGAAAAGUUAGCGGAUGACCUGUGGAUCGGAGUGAAAGGCUAAUCAAGCUCGGAGAUAGCUGGUUCUCCUCGAAAGCUAUUUAGGUAGCGCCUCAUGUAUCACUGUAGGGGGUAGAGCACUGUUUCGGCUAGGGGGUCAUCCCGACUUACCAAACCGAUGCAAACUCCGAAUACCUACAAGUGCCGAGCAUGGGAGACACACGGCGGGUGCUAACGUCCGUCGUGAAAAGGGAAACAACCCAGACCGUCAGCUAAGGUCCCAAAGUUAUGGUUAAGUGGGAAACGAUGUGGGAAGGCUUAGACAGCUAGGAGGUUGGCUUAGAAGCAGCCACCCUUUAAAGAAAGCGUAAUAGCUCACUAGUCGAGUCGGCCUGCGCGGAAGAUGUAACGGGGCUCAAACCAUACACCGAAGCUACGGGUAUCACGUAAGUGAUGCGGUAGAGGAGCGUUCUGUAAGCCUGUGAAGGUGAGUUGAGAAGCUUGCUGGAGGUAUCAGAAGUGCGAAUGCUGACAUGAGUAACGACAAUGGGUGUGAAAAACACCCACGCCGAAAGACCAAGGUUUCCUGCGCAACGUUAAUCGACGCAGGGUUAGUCGGUCCCUAAGGCGAGGCUGAAAAGCGUAGUCGAUGGAAAACAGGUUAAUAUUCCUGUACUUCUGGUUAUUGCGAUGGAGGGACGGAGAAGGCUAGGCCAGCUUGGCGUUGGUUGUCCAAGUUUAAGGUGGUAGGCUGAGAUCUUAGGUAAAUCCGGGAUCUUAAGGCCGAGAGCUGAUGACGAGUUACCCUUUGGGUGACGAAGUGGUUGAUGCCAUGCUUCCAAGAAAAGCUUCUAAGCUUCAGGUAACCAGGAACCGUACCCCAAACCGACACAGGUGGUUGGGUAGAGAAUACCAAGGCGCUUGAGAGAACUCGGGUGAAGGAACUAGGCAAAAUGGCACCGUAACUUCGGGAGAAGGUGCGCCGGUGAGGGUGAAGCACUUGCUGCGUAAGCCCACGCCGGUCGAAGAUACCAGGCCGCUGCGACUGUUUAUUAAAAACACAGCACUCUGCAAACACGAAAGUGGACGUAUAGGGUGUGACGCCUGCCCGGUGCCGGAAGGUUAAUUGAUGGGGUUAGCUAACGCGAAGCUCUUGAUCGAAGCCCCGGUAAACGGCGGCCGUAACUAUAACGGUCCUAAGGUAGCGAAAUUCCUUGUCGGGUAAGUUCCGACCUGCACGAAUGGCGUAACGAUGGCGGCGCUGUCUCCACCCGAGACUCAGUGAAAUUGAAAUCGCUGUGAAGAUGCAGUGUAUCCGCGGCUAGACGGAAAGACCCCGUGAACCUUUACUAUAGCUUUGCACUGGACUUUGAAUUUGCUUGUGUAGGAUAGGUGGGAGGCUUUGAAGCGUGGACGCCAGUCUGCGUGGAGCCAUCCUUGAAAUACCACCCUGGCAACUUUGAGGUUCUAACUCAGGUCCGUUAUCCGGAUCGAGGACAGUGUAUGGUGGGUAGUUUGACUGGGGCGGUCUCCUCCUAAAGAGUAACGGAGGAGUACGAAGGUGCGCUCAGACCGGUCGGAAAUCGGUCGUAGAGUAUAAAGGCAAAAGCGCGCUUGACUGCGAGACAGACACGUCGAGCAGGUACGAAAGUAGGUCUUAGUGAUCCGGUGGUUCUGUAUGGAAGGGCCAUCGCUCAACGGAUAAAAGGUACUCCGGGGAUAACAGGCUGAUACCGCCCAAGAGUUCAUAUCGACGGCGGUGUUUGGCACCUCGAUGUCGGCUCAUCACAUCCUGGGGCUGAAGCCGGUCCCAAGGGUAUGGCUGUUCGCCAUUUAAAGUGGUACGCGAGCUGGGUUUAGAACGUCGUGAGACAGUUCGGUCCCUAUCUGCCGUGGACGUUUGAGAUUUGAGAGGGGCUGCUCCUAGUACGAGAGGACCGGAGUGGACGAACCUCUGGUGUUCCGGUUGUCACGCCAGUGGCAUUGCCGGGUAGCUAUGUUCGGAAAAGAUAACCGCUGAAAGCAUCUAAGCGGGAAACUUGCCUCAAGAUGAGAUCUCACUGGAGCCUUGAGCUCCCUGAAGGGCCGUCGAAGACUACGACGUUGAUAGGCAGGGUGUGUAAGCGCUGUGAGGCGUUGAGCUAACCUGUACUAAUUGCCCGUGAGGCUUGACCAU
rnacentral:rRNA from 1 species